rnacentral:rRNA from 1 species
GCUAGCGACAGGCCUAACACAUGCAAGUCGAGGGGUAGAGUGCUUCGGCGCUUGAGACCGGCGUACGGGUGCGUAACACGUGUACAAUCUACCUUUUACUAAGGGAUAGCCCGAAGAAAUUUGGAUUAAUACCUUAUAGUAUUAUUUUAUGGCAUCAUUAAAUAAUUAAAGCUACGGUGGUAAAAGAUGAGUACGCGUCCCAUUAGCUAGUUGGAGUGGUAACGGCACACCAAGGCUACGAUGGGUAGGGGUUCUGAGAGGGAUGUCCCCCACACUGGUACUGAGACACGGACCAGACUCCUACGGGAGGCAGCAGUGAGGAAUAUUGGACAAUGGUCGGAAGACUGAUCCAGCCAUGCCGCGUGCAGGAUGACGGCCUUAUGGGUUGUAAACUGCUUUUGUACAGGAAGAAUAAGGUCUACGAGUAGAUUGAUGACGGUACUGUAUGAAUAAGCAUCGGCUAACUCCGUGCCAGCAGCCGCGGUAAUACGGAGGAUGCGAGCGUUAUCCGGAAUCAUUGGGUUUAAAGGGUCCGUAGGCGGGCGUAUAAGUCAGAGGUGAAAGCACUGAGCUCAACUGAGUAACUGCCUUUGAAACUGUAUGUCUUGAAUAGUUGUGAAGUAGCUGGAAUGUGUAGUGUAGCGGUGAAAUGCAUAGAUAUUACACAGAACACCGAUUGCGAAGGCAUGUUACUAACGACCGAUUGACGCUGAUGGACGAAAGCGUGGGGAGCGAACAGGAUUAGAUACCCUGGUAGUCCACGCUGUAAACGAUGGAUACUAGCUGUUUGGUUUUCGGACUGAGUGGCUAAGCGAAAGUGAUAAGUAUCCCACCUGGGGAGUACGCACGCAAGUGUGAAACUCAAAGGAAUUGACGGGGGCCCGCACAAGCGGUGGAGCAUGUGGUUUAAUUCGAUGAUACGCGAGGAACCUUACCAAGGUUUAAAUGGGAAACGACGUAUUCAGAGAUGAGUAUUUCUUCGGACGUUUUUCAAGGUGCUGCAUGGUUGUCGUCAGCUCGUGCCGUGAGGUGUCAGGUUAAGUCCUAUAACGAGCGCAACCCCUGCUGUUAGUUGCUAGCGAGUUAAGUCGAGCACUCUAACGGGACUGCCGGUGCAAACCGUGAGGAAGGUGGGGAUGACGUCAAAUCAUCACGGCCCUUACA